rnacentral:misc_RNA from 1 species
GAUGAAGAACGCAGCAAAAUGCGAUAAGUAAUGUGAAUUGCAGAAUUCAGUGAAUCAUCGAAUCUUUGAACGCACAUUGCGCCCGCCAGUAUUCUGGCGGGCAUGCCUGUUCGAGCGUCAUUUCAACCCUCAAGCACAGCUUGGUGUUGGGACUCGCGUUAAUUCGCGUUCCUCAAAUUGAUUGGCGGUCACGUCGAGCUUCCAUAGCGUAGUAGUAAAACCCUCGUUAAUGGUAAUCGUCGCGGCCACGCCGUUAAACCCCAACUUCUGAAUGUUGACCUCGGAUCAGGUAGGAAUACCCGCUGAACUUAAGCAUAUCAAUAAGCGGAGGA